UAGGGAAUCUUCUGCAAUGGGCGAAAGCCUGACGGAGCAACGCCGCGUGAGUGAUGAAGGUCUUCGGAUCGUAAAACUUUGUUAUUAGGGAAGAACAAAUGUGUAAGUAACUAUGCACGUCUUGACGGUACCUAAUCAGAAAGCCACGGCUAACUACGUGCCAGCAGCCGCGGUAAUACGUAGGUGGCAAGCGUUAUCCGGAAUUAUUGGGCGUAAAGCGCGCGUAGGCGGUUUUUUAAGUCUGAUGUGAAAGCCCACGGCUCAACCGUGGAGGGUCAUUGGAAACUGGAAAACUUGAGUGCAGAAGAGGAAAGUGGAAUUCCAUGUGUAGCGGUGAAAUGCGCAGAGAUAUGGAGGAACACCAGUGGCGAAGGCGACUUUCUGGUCUGUAACUGACGCUGAUGUGCGAAAGCGUGGGGAUCAAACAGG
rnacentral:rRNA from 1 species